AGAUAGCAGCCACAGGACACCUAAAUCUUUCAGAGAAAAAGAAUUUAUUGCUCCUUUAUCAGAAGAAACGAACUUCUUCCCACCUCACUCAGCCCUGAAGACGCCAUUAGGAUUAAGAGGAAGAAGUUGACACUGACCAGACAAAAUCCUUUGUUUGAAUGGAAUUUAUGCAUCAUGUAUGAGGUGUAUGAAUAUGCAACAGGCUAUUGUUUUUAAGGGUUAAUCCUCUGUUAACGUGUGUCCUUUUUCAGGCUUAUUUUGCCCAGAAAGUGGUACCUGGACUGUCCAUAACUCUUUGUUUUUUAUUGUCUCAUAUUGUCCUAAUCUCAAUUGUUCAAAUUUUUAUUACUCUAAUUAUAUUACUGUUUUUAUAACCAUUUUAUUACGAUUAAACUUGUAAAAUUUAAAAAACCAAGUGAUUGGAGUUUUUCACAUAGACUCUAGCAGUAGGACUCUUUAAAUUUUUUUUUUUCUGAACAUGAGCCACCUUAAACAGUUUUCUCAUUAAUCACUUCAAAACAACUCAAGCUAGAUAUCAAGAGAAAGAAAGGAGUGUUCUGCCUCCAGCUAGAGGAUGCUUUCCUCAUUUAGGCAAGUGUUCUUUGUGCAGCUGCAUGCCAAGCCUUCCUAAAUAUGCCCUAAUGCCAACUGUAACUGCAUAGGAAGACUAAGAAAUGCAUAUGUGCUUGUUAGGGGGCUCUCAUUUUAGACAGGAAAACCUGAAACAAACAAACAAAAAAACCCAAAACACCCGCACAGCUCUAAACAGUAACGUGGGGCUUAGGCCAGGUUCCCUGCUAUACUGGGUGGGUCAUGGACGCCCCUCAGGCCGGGCCGCGCCCUACCCCCUCACAUAAGAGCUGCAAGCGGGCCCCAAGAGCGGCAUCGGUCUCAGCGCCCGUUCGCUGCUGCGGCGGGCAGGCGAGCUCCUACUGCCUCCGGCCCCUGCAGUAUUCAGCGCAGCUAGGAAACCGCUUGGGUUCCGCCAUACCCUCCAAGUGGCCCAUCCUGCCGCUAUGUCCCGGCGGCGCUGUCCCCUCCCGGCUGUUGCUCCUCCUCCCCGCUCUGUCCCAGGGCGCAGGACUGACAUCACGCCCAGGGUUUCCAUCCAAUUAAGGGAGGAGGAGGUUGAGCGGAGUGGUAGCGUGAUGGCGGUGGUCGAGAGGACGUAGGAAAUAGCGGCGGAGCAACAGAGCACUUACCAGGGUUCUCCCUGCCCGGUUUAGGGCCCUAUUGUUCAAGCCGGUGGGGGCUGCAGGCGAGCCCACUGCGUGGGGUUGUAAAGAGCCGGCGGCCCAGGCCUUGUACUGGCCGCAGGAGCAGUCUUCGACCCUAGGUUGCAGCACAGACCUCUUUGUGGAGUGUAGCGCCGUCUCGGACCAGGGCAGACCUAGGAAAGUCGGGCCGAGUGCACACACGCAGGCAAUUUUGGAAAAAUCUUGCAGAGAACAUUUGAGUCAUCUGGAAAACAGAGUACCAAGAAGUAAUUUCUUGGCAUCUGGCUUCUAACCUGAGUGGACUUCUAUUUAUCUUUUAAACUUCUUAAUAUUUACAAUGAAUGGGCACAGUGAUGAAGAUGUAAGAAACAGUAGUGGAGAGUCAAGGCUGUGGAGAAGACCACUCCAGAGCAGAUAACCAUCCUGCAGCUCAUGGAGGGCCUCAUGACAGAGCAGGUGGAUGUGCCCUGGAGGAAGCUGCAGCCUCUAAAGAGCGUACCUUUGGAGAGGAGGAAGUUUUCUGUCAUGAACUACAGCCCCUGGGGGACCCACACUGGAGCAGUCCAUUCCCGAAGGACUGUACCCCAUGGAGAGGACACA